rnacentral:misc_RNA from 1 species
UGUGCAUCGACUGCGUUUAUUGACCGCGCACACAUCCUCUUCAGCGUCUUUCUCGCUGCCUCCCUCUGCCUGUAGCAUCUUCAUACAUCUCUUCGUUUUUCAUUCUCACGUGCGCGCGCGUGCAAGAAAACGUCUGCCUGCGUGUGUGCGUCGCUGCCCCCGCAGCUCUUUCCCUGUCUCUUUCUCUCUCGCUGUGCCCACGUUGCCUCGGUCCGACCGCCAACACCCCGCGUUUUCGCCGUGUUCUUUUCCCUUGCUUCGCGCUCCACUCUUCCGCUGUAUAUAUUUAUAUAUACACACACUCAGCGCCGUCGCUGCUUGUGGCUGCCGCCACCGUCCUCUUGCUGUUUGAAGACCCGCCUACCCGGUCUCAAGCGGGGCGGUGGAAGGGCGUGAGCAGCCGAAGUCCUUUACGUCGUCUUUGUGUUUUGCCGCUCAGCAAGCAGAGCGCGCAUCGGCGGCACGCCCCUCCGACUCGCUUUUUCUGUCUCUAAGAGCUCGCCACCACAAUCUAGCUCGCAAGCACACCCCUUCGUGGCAGACGUAACGAUGCCUCGCGAGACGCACGUAUUGCGCUUCAAGGUGCUCACAGUGGAGUGUGCGGCCUUGCCAAAUGGCCAGCAGUACACCGUCAUGUACCACCGCGGCAACACCAACCGCUCCACCCCGUGCUACACCGCACAGGGUGGCGUGAUCAACUUCGCCAGUAUGCCGGAGGGCGCAGCCGUGGUGCAUUUCAAGGCAGGCCACGGCGGCGGCCGUUUCGCUCCAAAGUACAUUCGUUUCAUGAUAGAGGAGUACACGCGCGGCAUGCCGCGCCGGCUGGUGGGGGAGACGGAAGCGGAUUGCACACAGGUGUUAAAGGAUUACGGAGCGUCCGGCUCAGGCAUCCUCACCGUUGUCUUCCGCCUCUAUGGCACCACCGCCAAGAUGAGGAUUGCGGUGCUCGUGUACCCAGAGCAUGCCCCUCCUCUCUCCUUCGACGGGUUGAUCGACCCGAGCGAGGUGGCUGCGCCGCUGCCGCCGCAGGCGUUGAAGGUGAUGAACCGUGGGGAAGCCAUGAUGAUACUGAUGGGGCUAGAGACGUUGCUCGAGCGGCGGCGCACGAUGAAGGCGGAGGGGCAGAGCUUGCCGCAGUCUCGCGAGGAGAAGAAGCUGGCGGAGCUCGAGAAGCGCCGCAAGGCCCUUGUGGGCUCCGAGGGUUUGGCGACUGAGGUCAUCAAAACCCGGUGCGAGGAAGUGGUGGCUGUGCAGUACACCGCGCUCGCCCGGAAGCACCGCAACAACUUCAUUGGCCAGACCGCCGCCUACCUCCGCGAGAUGGCCAUGCGCGCUGGCGAGGACUUCAUCGAUGACGACGGCAACAGCAGCGGCAACACGGUGAUGGAGCAGCUAAACCGAGUGAACCGAAGCAUCGAAGAGGUGGAGAUGCAGGUGAAGAAACUAGAAGAGGAGCAGACGGCGCUCGGUCGCAUUCAGCAUAAGGUGGACGUGAUGGCGGAGCUGAGCGCGAACCUCGACAAGGUGGCUGCGCUUCAGCAGAAGAUGCAGGUGCUGAAGGAGUCCCGCACAGCGCUGACGGAGGCUAUGAAGAAGCAGGCCGCCAGGAAGAACACCCCACUCGCCCGCGAGGUGGCUGCCAUCAACGCUCGCAUUGCCGCGCUGAAUGCGGAGCAGCAGCAGAUGGCGCCAAGGAUCCAGCACAUGGUGACAGUGGCGGCUUCGCACGUGGUGAAGUGGGCUCGCAGCAAGAACCCGCCGGAGUUGGAUAUCAAGAGCCGAAUAGAUACCUCGCGAGAAACUGGUGGCAACGGCCGCAACGCCGUCGACGACCUCUUCAGCGACGACGACAAGCCGAAGAGGUCGAAGGAGCAGCCCGUGAUGGACGACGUGCAGCGAAAGCAGGUUGUGGAGGCGCUCAAAGGGCUCAAGACCCCCACCGCACCCGUCCCUACCCGCUCGCCCACCUCGCCCACCUCGGCGUCCUCCAGCUCUGGCCACCGCACCCCGCGUGACCUCUUCGCUGACGCGGGCCUGCCUACUAUGGGCGACUUCAGCAACACCAAGAAGGAAGAGGAGGCGGCAACGAAGAGGAAGGACGACACCUCCAUAAAGCCCGUCCACGAGGACCCGCUGAAGCCCUCUGGUCUCGGCGUAGACAUGUUUUCAGCGAAGCCGGCGCCGGCUGCCGCCUCUAACGUACCAGCGGGCUUGCCCUCGAUGAACGAUUUCAUGCGGUCGUCUGCCUCGUCGAGGCAGCAGGACGCGCAGCCUACGUUUGACUUCGGCAGCAUCCUGCAGGCAAGCUCGGUCUCCCCGCAGAUGGGCGGCGGCUUUGUGCUGGAGCCGCAACAGUCCGAGGCAGCGGCUUCGAGCUUCGCCGCCGCGGCACCUUCUGCCGUCAGGGACGCCUACAACAAGAGAGAUGACCCGUACUAUGACGAGAUGGAUGACUUCACGGUGCCACCGGACGCCGCCGACAACAAAAACUACGGCGCUGUAGAGAUCACCGGCGGCAUUUUUGGCUUUCAGGAUGAUACGAACUCGCCAGCCUACGUGGCGUCGCGUCCGACUUUCGACUUUGGCCCAAGCGGCGGUGGCGAUGAUGGGCCGAGCGGGGUCGGGGUCACGGCGCCGCCAGCGGAGACCUUCUCGUUUGGCGGUGGGACCGCGGAUGAGCCGUCAACCAACAAUCGCCGAAACAGCUCCGACGACCCGUACACCGGCAUCACAAACCUGCCAACCUACAACUUUAGCAGCUGAGGUGGGAAUGCGGCGAGGGGGGCGGGGGCUGUUGUCGUCAUGGCGGCGUGCGUUCGGUUUUGGGAGGGGGAUAGCGGGCGGGGGACGGUGGGCCGCUGCCUGUAUCCAUCCGUCCCUCCUGCCCUCUUCCCGUGGCGGGCGUCUGGUAUGACGUGCACGUCUAUCGUGGCUUCUCUUUGUUCUUGUGAUUGGUCGACUUUUUCGGCUGUGGCCUGCGGUCGCUCUCGCGUGUCUCGGUUUCUUCGUCUGCGUGUUCUCGACUUGGUUUCUCUGUGUGCGUGUGCCGAGUGGUAGUCCCAGUCGUCGUAUGGCAUCAUCACCUCCACCGCCGGCACACAGACCUCCUCUAGCGACAUCUUUCUCCUUUCCUAAUACAACCCUCAACGUACGUCUAGGACACGCAGCAUAUGCCGUGAGAGCACCUCCCUAUAGACUGGCGGUCGCACAAUCAGGCACACGCGCUUCGUCUUGUCCCCAUUCAUGCGUUUUUUUUUGUGUGAAACUACGCGACUCACGUUAUGGUCCCUUGUAGGACGUGGCAGGUGGCACGGGUAGUCACGCGUGUUGGAUUGAUCGACGGUGCCCCGUCAACCUCUUGAGUCUGUGCAUACGUGUGUGUGUAUGUGCGUGCUCGCUAGGAUGGGCCUGCAAGGAGACGCGCUGCUGCAGUGUUCAUUAUGAAGAGGUGGCGAGCAAGUCGGUAAGCCGCUGCUUUUGGUCGUUGCGUUGCCUCCUUUUUUGGUUUGUUUUACCAUCCUAUCCUUUCACCUCACCCUGAGGAUGGUGAUGGGAGGGGGGACUAUAUUACGCUACUGUGUUGAAGCAUGUAUGUAUGUGUGUGUGUGCAUGUUGCCUUGCUGCCUGGAUCAUUGCUGAUGGCUUUUCUCCCCCUUUUUUUCGGUUGGGCUCAUGGUACAUUUUCGUUUUAUUGUGCAUUUUUUUUUCGUUUCGGAUACUCUCCUCGUGUUCGUUCCCGUUGUUCUGCUUGCGCAUCACGGUGCGGGUGUGUGCGUGGGCAGCGGAUGGACUCGUGAUUCUGUUAGCUCGAUCAAGCGGGUGUGCGAGUCAUGUGCGAUUUGUGCCCGCUGGGAUGGACUGCGGGAAAGGAGCGCGAAAACGAAGCGCGCAGAGGAGCAGUAGCAUGCCCCAAAAGAGU